GACGAACGCUGGCGGCGUGCUUAACACAUGCAAGUCGAACGAAGAGCGAUGGAAGCUUGCUUCUAUCAAUCUUAGUGGCGAACGGGUGAGUAACGCGUAAUCAACCUGCCCUUCAGAGGGGGACAACAGUUGGAAACGACUGCUAAUACCGCAUACGAUCUAAUCUCGGCAUCGAGGAUAGAUGAAAGGUGGCCUCUACAUGUAAGCUAUCACUGAAGGAGGGGAUUGCGUCUGAUUAGCUAGUUGGAGGGGUAACGGCCCACCAAGGCGAUGAUCAGUAGCCGGUCUGAGAGGAUGAACGGCCACAUUGGGACUGAGACACGGCCCAGACUCCUACGGGAGGCAGCAGUGGGGAAUCUUCCGCAAUGGACGAAAGUCUGACGGAGCAACGCCGCGUGAGCGAUGACGGCCUUCGGGUUAUAAAGCUCUGUUAAUCGGGACGAAAGGCCUUCUUGCGAAUAGUGAGAAGGAUUGACGGUACCGGAAUAGAAAGCCACGGCUAACUACGUG
rnacentral:rRNA from 1 species